rnacentral:ncRNA from 2 species
AACCAAUAUUGAAACAAGGUUCGUAUAAUCCUGAGAAUAUGGCUCGGAAGUAUCUACCAGGCAACCGUAAAUUGCUUGACUACGAAACAACUUACGUAUCAC